rnacentral:rRNA from 1 species
CCUACGGGCGGCAGCAGUGGGGGAUAUUGCACAAUGGGGGAAACCCUGAUGCAGCGACGCCGCGUGUGGGAAGACGGUCCUCUGGAUUGUAAACCACUGUCGCCAGGGACGAAGAUGACGGUACCUGGGGACGAAGCUCCGGCUAACUACGGGCAAACAGCCGCGGUAAGAGGUAGGGAGCAAGCGUUGUCCGGAAUUACGGGGGGUAAAGGGAGCGUAGGCGGGAUGGAAAGUUGGGUGUUAAAUCUACCGGCUCAACUGGGAGUCGCAUUCCAAACUGCUAUUCUAGAGUGAACGAGAGGCAGGCGGAAUUCCUGGUGUAGCGGUGAAAUGCGUAGAUAUCAGGAGGAACACCAGUGGCGAAGGCGGCCUGCUGGGCUUUAACUGACGCUGAGGCUCGAAAGUGUGGGUAGCAAACAGGAUUAGAUACCCGUGUAGUC